CAGGCCUCUCUCAUCUUUUUAAGUGGGAGAGCUUGCACAAUUGGUGGCUGACUAAAUACUUUUUUGCCCCACUGUAUGUUGUCUGUCAAGGGUUAUUUGAACUUGUUUUGUACACUAGAGGGCAUAUGUUGGGGUCAUGGGUCAAGAGUCACUUGUGUACAUACUGUAGGCAGCACAGGUGACCAGGGAGGGUUAGCACAGGUGAGAGGAGAGCACAUGCAGUUCUUACUGUAUCACAGAUAUAGCUUAUAGAAUUACUCUCUCUAUACCUUUUCUAUAGGAAUAUGUGUUUUGGAGCUAUUUAUAUGCACAAUAAAUGGGAAUGUCGCCCAAAAAGAGUGACGUUUGGAAUGCUGAUUUUUGUGGACGUGUUAUGGACAGCUCUUUCCUGUGCCAGUGGCUUUUUGUAGGGAAUUGCCACUACAAAGACUGUAUGCCUACACUUACCGAGCAACUAAAUAUACAUUGUGUAUAGAGUACAGCUUCAGCUGUCUAACUAGAAUGACAAUCUAUUUGUCUAUUUGGCCAAUUCUAAGGAUUUGUCAAACCACACACCGGUUCUGUCUUCCAGCCUUGUCUCAGAGCAUUUCGUAUUAUUCUGUAUGUAAAUCCGAGACACUCCAUCAUAUGUUACGUUUCAUAUGGCAUGUAUUAAUUUGUGGAUGUCCAUCAUCCAUUUUGUAUGAUAUGUUACGAAUUUGCAAAACGUACAAUGCAAUAUGUUACAUAUGGUUACAUAAGCAGAUGCUUGCUUACUUAAGGCAAAAAUGAAAGGUUGGGUGAGAGUAUAACGUGGCUGUCUAGCAACUCAAAUGUUGCAGGUUCAAAUCUCAUCACGGACAACUUAAGCAUUUUACCUAAUUAGCAAAUUUUCAACUACUUACCACUUUUUGGCUAUUUUGCAACUACAUGUUAGCUAUCCCUUCCCCUAACCCAAACCUUAACCCUUUUAGCAAAUGAAUGAUGAAUGAAUGUGAAUCAAUGAUAAUUGAUGAUAAUUAGCUAGCUGACAUUCGGGGGCUUCGUUUCCUAACCCAAAACAACAUGUGUGUUCUCAUAAUAGCUUAUUGUGUAAUUUUUAGGGCACAUGUCUACUACAAAUAUAGCAAGGGCUAUUGGCAGCAAAUAGCAAAACAUAUCUGCAAGUAUUCAGUAACGUACACAGCUGGUUGCAUACUAACGGGGUAAGUGUCACCAGCCUGAAUCUAUUCUGUAGUUACAGUCCUCCUAUUAGUAUAUAAACUGAGUAUACAAAACAGCUCUUUCCGUGACAUAGACUGACCAGGUGAAUCCAGGUGAAAGCUAUGACCCCUUAUUGAUGUGCCUUGUUAAAUCCACUUCAAUCAGUGUAGAUGAAGGAGAUGAGACAUGUUAAGGAAGGAUUUUUAAGCCGCGGGACAAUUGAGACAUGGAUUGUGUGUCUGUGCCUUUCAGAGGGUGGUAUGGGCAAAACAAAAGAUUUUAGUGCCUUUGUUGAACAGGGUAGGCACAGGAGGUUGUUGGCACCUUCAUUGGGGCGAACGGGCUUGUGUUAAUGACUGGAGUGGAAUGGAAUCAAACACAUGGUUUCCAGGUGUUUGAUGCCAAUCCAUUAGCUUCGUUCUGGCCAUUAGUAUGAGCCGCUUUCCCCUCAGCAGCCUCCCGUCAGGGUAUGGUGGUAGGUGCUAGGCACACACCGGUUUGUGUCAAGAGCUGCAACGCUACAGGGUUUUUCACGCUCAACAGUUUCCCAUGGGUAUCAAGAAUGGUCCACCACCCAAAGUACAUCUAGCGAACUAGACACAACUGUGUGCGAAGCUGUCAUCAAGGCAAAGGGUGGCUACUUUGAAGACUCAAAUAUAAAAUAUUUUGAUUUGUUUAACACUUUUUUGGUUACUACAUGAUUCCAUAUGUGUUAUUUCAUAGUGUUUUUGUCUUCACUAUGAUGCUACAAUGUAGAAAAUUGUAAAAUAAAGAAAAGACCUCGAAUGAAUAGGUGUGUCCAAACCUUUGACUGGUAUUAUAUGUUCCCACACCUUACAAGGAACCAAAUGUACUAGCUGGGAAUACUAUUAGUCCUGGAGUUAACCUAACCACUAAUGAUAAUGUAAUCAGUGCUGUGUGUAUAUGUUUGUCUUGUAUGUUGUAAGGAGGUGCAACAUUCCACUGUGCCAAUGGAUUACACCUGGGCCCGAGAGCUGGGUCUGAUAUAGGUACCGAAGUCGGGCUCCUUCAUGACCAGUAUCUGUGACGAGAGGGGCCUGGAGCUGAUCUAUGCUGCCAUGCCUAUCAGCUUUUAAAAUUGAGUUCUCUGACUGAUACAUGGGGCUGUGUAUUCUUCAAACAUGUCAUGGAACUCCUGUCUUAUAUGGGACACCAUACAGAAAGGGAUUUUCCCCAAUGGUGAAAGGGGGGCCUGAGUGAAAACGUUUGGAACCCCUGCUCUAAGCAGAAUUUGGCAGUAUGUCGAACCGGCCUCACAACCGCAGACCAUGUGUAACCUGCCCAGGACAUCCGGCUUCUUCACCUGCGGGAUAGUCUGAGACCAGCCACCCGGACAGCUGAUGAAACUUUGGGUUUGCACAACCAAAUCAUUUCUGUACAAACUGUCAGAAAGCGUCUUAGGGAAGCUCAUCUGCGUGCUCAUUGUCUUCACCAGGGUCUUCACCUGACAGCAGUUUGGGAUUGUAACAGAAUUCAGUGGGGAAAUGCUCACCUUCGAUGGCUUCUGGCACACUGGAGAAGUGUGCGCUUCACGGAUGAAUCCCAGUUUCAACUGUACCAGGCAGAUGGCAGACAGCAUGUAUUGCAUCGUGUGGGUGAGCGGUUUGCUCAUGUCAACGUUGCUAACAGAGUUCCCCAUGGUAAUGGUGGGGUUAUGGUAUGGACAGGCAUAAGCUACGGACAACGAACACAAUCACAUUUUAUCUAUGGCAAUUUAAAUGCACAGAGAUACUGUGACGAGAUCCUGAGGCCCAUUGUCGUACUGUACCAUUCAUCCACCGCCAUCACCUCAUGUUUCAGAAUGAUAAUGCACAGCCCCAUGUCGCAGGGAUCUAUAUACAAUUCCUGAAAGGAAAAUGUUCCAGUUCUUCUAUGGCCUGCAUUUUCACCAGAUAUGUCACCCAUUGAGUAUGCUUGGGAUAAUCUAGUUCUACGUGUACGACAGUGUGUUCCACAGGCCACAAUCAACAGCCUAAUCAACUCUAUAUGAAAGAGAUGUGUCACGCUGCAUGAGGCAAAUGGCUGUCACACCAGAUACUGACUGGUUUUCUGAUCUAUAUUCCCAGUCAUAUGAAAUCCAUAGUUUAGGGCCUAAUGAAUUUAUUUAAAUUGACUGAUUUCCUUAUAUGAACUGUAACUCAGUAAAAUCUUUCAAAUUGUUGCAUGUUGCAUUAAUAUUUUUAUUCAAUGUAGUUGCUUGGUAUAUAACGGCAGCUUACGUUAUAAAUUGUAUCUCAGCCACUUUUUCCCUCAUGUUGGUUAAGUGUGCCUUGAAUUCUAAAUAUAUCAUUGACAUCAAAGCAUCACCACACCUCCUCCUCCAUGCUUCACGGUGAGAACCACACUUGCAGAGAUAAUCCGUUCACCUACUCUGCGUUUCACAAAGACAUGGCGGUUGGAACCAAAAAUCUAAAAUUUGGACUCAUCAGACCAAAGGACAGAUUUCCACUUGGCCCAAGCAAGUCUCUUCUUUCGUGUGGGGGUGCUUUGCUGGUGACACUGUCUGUGAUUUAUUUAGAAUUCAAGGCACACUUAACCAACAUGGCUACCACAGUAUUCUGCAGCGAUACGCCAUCCCAUCUGGUUUGGGCUUAGUGGGACAAUCAUUUGUUUUUCAACAGGACAAUGACCCAAAACUCACCUCCAGGCUGUGUAAGGGCUACUUGACCAAUAAGGAGAUUGAUGGAGUGCUGCAUCAGUUGACCUGGCCUCCACAAUCACUCAACCUCAACCAAUUUGAGAUGUUUUGGGAUGAGUUGGACCGCAGUGAAGGAAAAGCAGCCAACAAGUGCUCAGCAUAUGUGUGGGAACUCCUUCAAGACUGUUGGAAAACCAUUCCUCAUGAAGCUGGUUGAGAGAAUGCCAAAAGUAUGCAAAGUAUGCAAAGAAAAAUAUCAAAUAUAUUUGGACUUGUUUAACACUUUUCUGGUUACUACAUGAUUCAAUAUGUGUUAUUUCAUAGUUUUGAUGUCUUCACUAUUAUUCUACAAUGUAGAAAAUAGUGAAAAUAAAGACAACCCCUUGAAUGAGUAGGUGUGUCCAAACUUUUGACUUGUACUGUAUAUGGUAUAUAUUUUGUGGCAUUAGUUAUACUGUUUUAGAUGUUUAUUAUUGCACUGUUGUACAUGUCUGUUGUUAAACAACCCCAUGUCAUGAUUAGAUAGUGUUUUGAAUGAAACUCUUCAUAUCAGGACUUACACCCACCAGUAUGAUGGCCAACACACCAGGACCCGUUAGGUUUUUCCAUUCGUUAUGACUCUCACUUUAGUCCCUUGGGAAAAUAUUCUACUGAAGUGGUCAACUGGAAAUAUGCUACAUGUAAAUGUUCCUACUCAACUGCUUUAUUUUAUAGGCAACGUUGAUGGAAAAUUGCUUUAUAGCUAUAACACAUGAGUAAAUGGGGAAUUUAUUAACAUUAUUACACAAUUGACAAGGCAAAAUAUAUUCCAGUCCCUCUGCUUUUGGAUUGUGAAUCUUGAAGUUGCGUCUCAGCCAUUCACAGAGCUUUUUUAAAUACUUUUUUUGUUGCUGUAAUUACCAGGCUUUGCACACUUCCUUUGCCCUCAUUAAACAUUUUUAAUGGAUGAGGUUUGAAAUAAA